GACGAACGCUGGCGGCGUGCUUAACACAUGCAAGUCGAGCGGUAAGGCCCUUUCGGAGGUACACGAGCGGCGAACGGGUGAGUAACACGUGGGUGACCUGCCCUCAGCUCUGGGAUAAGCCUGGGAAACCGGGUCUAAUACCGGAUAUGACUCCAUGACGCAUGUUGUGGGGUGGAAAGCCUUGUGCGGCUGAGGAUGGGCCCGCGGCCUAUCAGCUUGUUGGUGGGGUGANGGCCUACCAAGGCGACGAUGGGUAGCCGGCCUGAGAGGGCGACCGGCCACACUGGGACUGAGACACGGCCCAGACUCCUACGGGAGGCAGCAGUGGGGAAUCUUGCGCAAUGGGCGAAAGCCUGACGCAGCGACGCCGCGUGAGGGAUG
rnacentral:rRNA from 1 species